UCUCAUUGUCUUACAUAGUUACAUAGCUGAAAAGAGACUUGCAUCCAUCAAGUUCAGCCUUCCUCACAUUUGUUUUUUGCUAUUGAUCCAAAAGAUGGCAAAAAAAAAUAGUUUAAAGCACUUCCAAUUUUGCAACAAACUAGGGAAAAAAAUCCUUCUUCACCCCAGAAUGGCAGUCAGAUUAAUCCUUGGAUCAAGCAGCUAUUACCCUACAUUGAAAAAUUAUAUCCUUGAAUAUUCUGUUUUUGCAAGGAUGCAUCUAGUUGCUGUUUGAACAUCUGUAUGGACUCUGAUAAAACCACAAUUCUUACAAUAACCUUUAUUCUUCCCUGGCAGAUCUGAUGACUUUAUAGGAGAACUGUCACUUCCCUGAAUGUAUACUGUAAUGUUUACAU